rnacentral:rRNA from 1 species
UACGGGGGGGAGCAAGCGUUGUUCGGAUUUACUGGGCGUAAAGGGCGCGUAGGCGGCGUAACAAGUCACUUGUGAAAUCUCCGGGCUUAACUCGGAGCGGUCAAGUGAUACUGUUGUGCUAGAGUGCGGAAGGGGCUACUGGAAUUCUCGGUGUAGCGGUGAAAUGCGUAGAUAUCGAGAGGAACACCUGCGGCGAAGGCGGGUAGCUGGGCCGACACUGACGCUGAAGCGCGAAAGCGUGGGGAGCAAACAGG